rnacentral:lncRNA from 1 species
UCUAGGCUCAUUUUUUGCUUGCACUUGCGUUUCCUCUGCUGAGACAUGGGGUGGCGAUCUUUGUUAAGCAAUGCCAUGGGUGGGCUUGCAGGAGAGAGGAGUCUGUGGAAGAUAAAAGGCCGCUGCUCUGAAGGAAAGUGGCCUCAGGAUCCUCCUUUCAGGGAAAACAUUCAUUCCUUUCUCUUUCGGCUGCAAAUGAUAGAACUGAGGUUCUCUUCCAUGGGAAAAGUGAACCAUCGGUCCAGAACAAGGACCCCGGGACGUCACCCUCACCUGUGCAGGGCUCGGGAUGGAAUCUAGAACUCUGUAGUUUCAGAGGGUGCUGAGUCCUACCCGCUCACAUGAUCAUGAGCAGUCCACUGACCAAACAGGUCUC